UACGGAGGGGGCUAGCGUUGUUCGGAAUUACUGGGCGUAAAGCGCGCGUAGGCGGACCUGCAAGUCGGGGGGUGAAAGCCCGAGGCUCAACCUCGGAACUGCCUUCGAUACUGCGGGUCUCGAGUCCGGGAGAGGUGAGUGGAAUUCCUAGUGUAGAGGUGAAAUUCGUAGAUAAUUAGGAAGAACACCGGUGGCGAAAGGGCGG
rnacentral:rRNA from 1 species